CCGGGAUAGCUCAGUUGGUAGAGCAGAGGAC
rnacentral:tRNA from 70 species